UACGUAGGCAGCGAGCGUUGUUCGGAAUUACUGGGCGUAAAGAGUGUGUAGGCGGUGCUCUAAGUUCGGUGUGAAAUCUCCUGGCUCAACUGGGAGGGUGCGCCGGAAACUGGAGUGCUUGAGCGUGGGAGAGGAAAGCGGAAUUCCUGGUGUAGCGGUGAAAUGCGUAGAUAUCAGGAGGAACACCUGUGGUGUAGACGGCUUUCUGGGCCAUAGCUGACGCUGAGGAGCGAAAAGCAUGGGGAGCGAACAGG
rnacentral:rRNA from 1 species